rnacentral:lncRNA from 1 species
UCUAUGGUGGUACUCUAUGGUUAGAUACAUGCAAGCAAAUCAGAUUUAAAAUAUUCCGAAAACCUACAACAACAGAUUUAAUGAUUUCGUUUCAUUCCAACCACCCAAGAGCACAUAAGGUAGCUGGGCAUUCAUAGCUUGGCUUUUAGAGCGUUUAAUAUUCCUUUGCAACCAGACGAUCUGAAUGCCGAAAUAAACACCAUCAGAUACUUAUGCCAGAAGAAUGGUUACCCUGCGUACUUAGUAAAUCAAAUUUUGAAGAAACAUGAAAUACGGAAACGGAAUCGAAAUAACCCUAAAAUAGCUAAUAAUAGGCCUAGGAAAUUCAUUCCAUUAAGUUACUUCAAUAAAUCUAGUAACAUAGUAGGUAAUGCUUUCAAACGUUUUGGUUACCAACCUGCAUUCCAUUGUUCCUCUAAUUGUUUGAAAAGUAUUAAUAAUAAUAGCCCAAAAGUAAACGAUUUAGACAGAGCUGGAGUUUAUAAAAUAACCUGCAACGAUUGUUCUGCCCGUUACAUCGGAAAAACCGAACGUAGCAUUCGGCUAAGAUUUAGUGAGCAUUUAGCAAAAGAUAAUUCUAAUGUGUAUAAACAUAUAAAGGAUACUAAUCACAACAUUGACCUUAUUAAUAGCGUGUCGAUUUGUAAUUUAUCAAACAACAAAGCUGUAUUAAGAGCAAAUGAAAAAUUUCACAUUCUGGAAGCAAUUAAAAAUAACGAAGAACUACUUAAUAUCCAAACUGAUUUAGAUAAUGCGAAUAAUGUACUAUUGGAUAAGUGUUGUGACUUGUAACUCCUCCUCCUCACCUAGUGUUUGAAUUUCCCGUUUGUUUACUUUCCGACCCGUAUGAUGCUACUCCUGGUGGUUUGGAGAUGAACUUCCCCCUUUCUUUGUUUUGAUGUUAUUUAAUUUUAGGUUAUGCGCUUGUAAAUUUUAUUUCUGCUGUCUGCUUUACAUCUUUGCUUAAAUGUAGUUGUUUGGUAGUUUGCGCAUGUAUUUU